CUGAAUAUCUUGUUCCCAGGUAAGGAGUGUGGAUGUGAAGGAAGCACUGCGUCUUCAGCAGGAAAAUAAGUUUGUAAUUCUUGAUGUACGACCUGAAGCAGAAUACAAGGAGGCUCAUCCGCCGGGGGCAAUAAACGUGCAAAUAUAUAGGCUCAUCAAGGAAUGGACGGCAUGGGACAUUGCGAGGCGAGCUGCAUUCGCCUUUUCGGCAUCUUCGCGGGCACGGAGGAGAACCCGGACUUCAUAAACGAGUAUAGCCUUGUCGCGCUAUCUUGCUUUCGACGGUGUUCCCUGUGUUGUGAAAGAUGUGAGACUGAUCUUCUUAACCUCCUGUUUGCCACAGCUGUGGAAUCGAAAAUCGGUAAAGAUGCCAAGAUAAUCGUGGCUUGCUCAGCCGGUGGCACGAUGAACCAUCUCAAAAUCUUCCCGAAGGACAACAAUCAAGAUCACUUAUUGCUGCAUACCUGCUGGUGCUCAACGGCUACACCAAUGUCUACUAUUUAGAAGGGGCUUGUAUACAUGGUUCAAGGAGGGACUGCCGGCAGCUUCUGAAAAGUGAAAACUCGAGCAUCAUACCGUCUCUUUUUUGAUCAUUCUCAUUUAGGAAAAUCACAUGGGAUAUGGCGGUCAAUGUCGCCUGUCGCCAGUCGUACGAUGAGUACUUUGAUGACCAUGUAAACCAGACAGCUUGAUCAUUGAUAUCUUGCAGGAGUAAGACUACAAGAAUGCAUCUC